rnacentral:lncRNA from 1 species
GUUAGCAGCUAACAACUGACCCCAUAGAAGAAAUGACAAUAGAUUUGGCUUAGUGUGUUAGAUUUAAGAACAGGUUGACUGUGAGAGGUGUGACAUGGUAGCCAAGGAGGACUCCUGAAGGAUGUUUAAGGAAAAUGGAGUCAGGUACCAACCAGGUAUGGUCAACUUGCUUAGGGAAAGAAGACUGAACAGACAAUCUAAAUCCUCCGUGCCCUUGUUUGACCUCUAACACUAGGGUGAAAAGCCCCUUCUUGGUAGAACUUCACUGAUCCUUAGUUUUUAACCAUAAUUUUUUUCUGAAAUAGACAAGUGACCUGCUACUUCAGUUUAAUUUUCACCCCAUGCUUCAUGACAUUGCCAUUGAGCAGUUUCCAAGAAAGGAACACCAAAGGGAGGACAUUAAGAUGAAAGAGCAAUUAG